AUCCUCGUGCUCGUCGUGAUGGCCACCGGCGGCGGCGGCGGCGCGAGUGAGAUGGCCGUCGGCGUCGGGGAGGAAAACCCGAGCCCUUCGACUAUCCCAACCCGCGGAUUCUUCGUGGCGCUGCACGUUGGCGCCGGCUUCCACGCGCCGGCGAACGAGAAGGCGUACCGCCGAGCCAUGAAGCGCGCCUGCCUCGCCGCCGCGGCCGUCCUACGCGAGGGCAGUGGCACAAGCCUUGAUGCAGUUGCAGCUGCCAUUCACGUUUUGGAGGAUGAUCCCAUCACAAAUGCUGGUCGGGGUUCAAAUUUGACUGAGAGUGGUCAUGUGGAAUGUGAUGCAAGCAUUAUGGAUGGAAGUACUGGUUCUUUUGGAGCUGUUGGAGCUAUUCGAGAUCAGGUGUAAAGAAUCCAAUCCAAGUCGCUUUGCACUUGGCAAAGGAACAGAUUGCAGGAUCGUCAUUUCUUGGUCGGAUACCCCCCAUGUUUUUGGUUGGUGAAGGAGCAUAUAAAUGGGCAAAAUCUAAAGGAAUGGAUCUACUUGAAUCUACAUCGGAGGCUAACAGUUGGUUGGUGACUGAGAAUGCAAGAACGCAGUGGGUAAAAUACACGUCAUUGCUAGCUAAUUCCAAGAAACUAUUAGAGCUUAACACUGAUUCUGGUUCAGAACAUGAUUCAGUACAGUUGGAAGCACCAGGCACUGAAUCUGAGAAUAUUGCUGAUGUAAAGAAGAUGUUCACACAGUCAAUCAUGGAAGACAAUCAAGACUGUGUAAUGGAUACAGUUGGUGUUAUUUGUGUAGAUAGCUAUGGAAAUGUAGCAUCAGGUGCAUCUAGUGGUGGUAUUGCCCUGAAGGUAGAUGGCCGGGUUGGGCUUGCAGCUAUGUAUGGCUCUGGGUGCUGGGCUUCUUCCAAAGGACCCUUUGGUACACCAUUCAUAGUUGCCUGUUGUGCCACUGGAGCUGGAGAACAUUUGAUUAGAGGAUUUGCUGCCCGUGAAUGUUGCAUCUCAUCAUCAUUGUAUUCUCAUUUAUUCGAGUGUUUUUUUUUUUGCUUUUUACAUCUGUACAUCUGUUCAGUAUGUCAGUAGGGCUAAACAACUAGUACACUAUUUUUUUUGGCAAAUAUCUCCUUCAGUAAUUGUAAGUCUGAAUAUCUAUAAUUGUAUAUUGUCAGGUCACAAUCUGGUCCUGCUUCUGGCUGCACUAAAGUUCUCCGUUCUGUGGUUCAAAGCAGCAGUAGGAUGUCUCAUGAUACGGGCGCUGGGUUGCUGCUAGUUCAGGCUGAUGUUCAAAAGCGAGGGGAUUUGUCCGAACUGGAAGCCGCUGAGCUGGUUGCUGCCUACUCGUCCCCAUCAUUUGGAGUUGGUUAUUUCGGAAGCAAUAUGAAUAAUCCAAAGAUUUCGAUGCUUAGAGCAUCAGAAGGCGCAUCUGGUAUUGUCAACCACUUUGCGACUAGGAUCAAGAUUGAUGCAGAAUCAUCUGAAUUUUGACAACGGGCCUGUCUCUGUUGGCAAUCGUCUUUUCCUGUGAAACAGCUGCAAAAGCACUUGUUUUGGCAUUCAUCCAUUCUGAAUUAUUUGAACAGUAUUUGAUGAAUCGUUUGAAUAUUAUUAUCUGAUGACAGCUUGUGAUCCAAACAACCUUAGAUUG